rnacentral:rRNA from 1 species
UUCUCCCCGAAAGCUAUUUAGGUAGCGCCUCGUGAACUCAUCUCCGGGGGUAGAGCACUGUUUCGGCUAGGGGGCCAUCCCGGCUUACCAACCCGAUGCAAACUGCGAAUACCGGAGAAUGUUAUCACGGGAGACACACGGCGGGUGCUAACGUCCGUCGUGAAGAGGGAAACAACCCAGACCGCCAGCUAAGGUCCCAAAGUCAUGGUUAAGUGGGAAACGAUGUGGGAAGGCCCAGACAGCCAGGAUGUUGGCUUAGAAGCAGCCAUCAUUUAAAGAAAGCGUAAUAGCUCACUGGUCGAGUCGGCCUGCGCGGAAGAUGUAACGGGGCUAAACCAUGCACCGAAGCUGCGGCAGCGACACUAUGUGUUGUUGGGUA